GCAAAAUCACCAGUGUUAAAUUUUCAGGGAUGGUGUUAAAUACACAGUGUUGAUGCUGUUUUAACACUAUCUGGUAAUAAAAUAACACUGCCAUUGCUAGGCCAGUGUUAUAUUCACGACAGUGUCAGUGUAAAACAAGGGUGUUAUCAGAUUUCACUCUGAGCGGUGUAAAUCAAGCCACGCCUCCACUAAACAUUUCCUGUCAGGGAUUUUACCGCCAUUUUCUUUCACAGGAGGACUGAAGAGAUCAGAUGCUAGUUUGGUGAAAGUUCACACUGAGUGCUUCAAAUCAUUCAGACGAGAUGCUGUUUUUAGGGCAGUUUAUUAAAGAAGACCUGACAUGGAUGACUUCCAAUGAGAAACGACUGCUAAUACUUAUAUAAAUUCAUUACAGAAGGACCCUACCAGACUAUAUUUGAAUACGGCAUACCCAUGAAUUCUGGAACUGUUAUUCCUUAACCCAGUUUGGAGGAUAAGAGCUUACCAACUAGUUACAGUAUAAAUAUGCUGAGGUGAUGUAUUGCAAAAUAGCCAACAUACAACAAUAUGGAUGACCCUCUGUCUGGUCAACAGGAGUUUAAAUAUGGACGGGACAGUGAUGUGGCAGCUCUUCCCUGGCUCAUUCACCUCUUGCCUUUCAUUUGUGAAAGGAAGAAAGAAGAAAGAGGGUCAAUGUGCAACUGAAGCUACUGAUUGUGCUAUGUGAUGAGCAUCAAUCCAUGCUUUGAGGGGGAUGAAUCAGCACAGCCCUGCCUGCACUGCGUUGGGAACAGAAGUUGCAUCCAGAAUUUUUGCAUCAUUCUGGACCAAAAAGCCAUUCCCUCCAUGAUGAAGACCACUGAUGCAGCCUUCCACUACAUCAUGAGUAAAACAACUACAGAACUAAAUACCAGGUUGGAACGUAUUUAAGAAAAAUGAAACGUCUUUUGAAUUGAAAUGUCUGUUUUGUUAUGGAAAAAUCUUUAGUAUUGUGAAGGAUAAGCAUUUCUGCCUGCCAGUAAAGUAAUUGCAGUGUAUUUUAAUGUUCAAGUUUUGAGUAGGGUGGCUAAUUUUUUUUAAACUCUCAUUUGAUAUAUUAAAG